rnacentral:rRNA from 1 species
GACAGAGGUGCCAAGCGUGAGGCGGAAUCACUGGGCUUAAAGCGUGUGUAGGCGGAUCUCUAAGUACCUUGUGAAAUCCCACGGCUCAACCGUGGAACUGCUCGGUAUACUGGGGAUCUUGAGCUGCUUAGGGGUCGUCGGAACAAACGGUGGAGCGGUGAAAUGCGUAGAUAUCGUUUGGAACGCCAAUGGUGAAAACAGACGACUGGGAGCACGCUGACGCUGAGACACGAAAGCCAGGGGAGCGAACGGG